rnacentral:rRNA from 1 species
UAGGGAAUCUUCCACAAUGGGCGAAAGCCUGACGGAGCAACGCCGCGUGUGUGAUGAAGGGUUUCGGCUCGUAAAACACUGUUGUAAGAGAAGAAUGACAUUGAGAGCAACUGUUCAAUGUGUGACGGUAUCUUACCAGAAAGGAACGGCUAAAUACGUGCCAC